CAAGUGGGGGAGGAAAGUCCGGACAGCAUAGGGCAACCCACCGGUUAAUGGCCGGCAUUGCUAGAAAUAGUAAGAGAGACAGUGCCACAGAAAAUAACUACCUCGCAAGGGGAAAAGGUGAAAAAGUGCGGUAAGAGCGCACGGCUUGGCAGGGUAACCUGCUAGGGGGGUAAACCUUGGGUGUUGUAAUGCCAUGUAUAGGAGCGUUUGAAGGCGGCCCGCUUGAGCUCCAGGGUAGGCAGCUAGAUCUUGCAAGUAAUUGCAAGGCCAGAUAAAUGAUAGUUUAGAAACAGAAUCCGGCUUAUGAGG
rnacentral:RNase_P_RNA from 1 species